GGGGGGCCGGCUACCAUGCAGUCGAGCGGUAACAGAGAAUAGCUUGCUAUUCUGCUGACGAGCGGCGGACGGGUGAGUAACGCGUAGGAAUCUGCCCGGUAGCGGGGGAUAGCCCAGAGAAAUUUGGAUUAAUACCGCAUACGCCCUACGGGGGAAAGGAGGGGAUCUUCGGACCUUCCACUAUCGGAUGAGCCUGCGUGAGAUUAGCUAGUUGGUGGGGUAAAGGCCUACCAAGGCGACGAUCUCUAGCUGGUCUGAGAGGAUGAUCAGCCACACCGGAACUGAGACACGGUCCGGACUCCUACGGGAGGCAGCAGUGGGGAAUAUUGCACAAUGGGCGAAAGCCUGAUGCAGCCAUGCCGCGUGUGUGAAGAAGGCCUUAGGGUUGUAAAGCACUUUCAGCGAGGAGGAAAGGUUGGUCACUAAUAUCUCCUAGCUGUGACGUUACUCGCAGAAGAAGCACCGGCUAACUCCGUGCCAGCAGCCGCGGUAAUACGGAGGGUGCAAGCGUUAAUCGGAAUUACUGGGCGUAAAGCGCGCGUAGGCGGCUUGUUAAGCCAGAUGUGAAAGCCCCGGGCUUAACCUGGGAACUGCAUUUGGAACUGGCAGGCUAGAGUACAGAAGAGGGUGGUAGAAUUUCCUGUGUAGCGGUGAAAUGCGUAGAUAUAGGAAGGAAUACCAGUGGCGAAGGCGGCCACCUGGUCUGAUACUGACGCUGAGGUGCGAAAGCGUGGGGAGCAAACAGGAUUAGAUACCCUGGUAGUCCACGCCGUAAACGAUGUCUACUAGCCGUUGGGAACCUUGAGUUCUUAGUGGCGCAGCUAACGCGAUAAGUAGACCGCCUGGGGAGUACGGUCGCAAGAUUAAAACUCAAAUGAAUUGACGGGGGCCCGCACAAGCGGUGGAGCAUGUGGUCUAAUUCGAAGCAACGCGAAGAACCUUACCUACUCUUGACAUCCAGAGAACUUUCCAGAGAUGGAUUGGUGCCUUCGGGAACUCUGAGACAGGUGCUGCAUGGCUGUCGUCAGCUCGUGUUGUGAAAUGUUGGGGUUAAGUCCCGUACGAGCCGCAACCCCUAUCCCUAUUUGCUAGCAGUUCGGCUGAAAACUCUAGGGAGACUGCCGGUUGAACAAACCGGGAGGAAGGGUGGGGGACGACG
rnacentral:rRNA from 1 species